rnacentral:lncRNA from 1 species
CUUUGUCAACCCAUCUGGAAUAAUAGUAAUAAUAACAUAAAUGAUGUUUCAAGUCAAAGAAACACACCUAUGCAACCAACCCUUUCUGGCCAGUGGCUGUGCCCCUGAGCCUCCUGCACUGGGUUCUCCCGCCUUGUUCCAACUCUUUGCUUUGUGUUAAACAAGGGAGAGUGAGACCAGCACGUGCCCGAUGCUUCAGUUGAAAAAACUUCAGCUACAAACGAGUGGAAGAGGUAUUUCCCUUCCAGACCUUCGUUUUCGGUCCCCUUUCAGCGCUGUAUCAGGCAAGGAAGAGACAAGAUUGCAGAAGAUUCAGCUGCUUCUGAGAAAAACAGCUGAGAGAUUUGACUCAUCACUCGCCAUCCUCCAAAACCAGAAGCUGCCCCUGUGAGCUGCUAGCUGACUGAAUUCUGUACACUGCAAAGCAAGUUUGCAUUUCCCCGGAGGUGAUUGGAAAUGAUCUUGCUGAGCUCUCCAGUAUUAAAGUUGAUGUAUGUUUCCCUGCAUCCAAGGUUUUUUCCAGGAUUGCAUAAAGCAGGCUGAGUUUAGGAGCAGCUUCAUUUCACCUUUUGGAAAUGAACAACUUCUGGGUUAUUUUCAAGCUUUUUGGUAGCCAGAAUAGCAUAUUACUCAUCUGUUCUUGUUAAACAGAUUUCAGGAAUGUCUGCAGUGCCAGGAGCUCAUGUAUUAAGGAUAUAUAACAAGUUGUUUCUUUUGGUGCCUUGUGCUCUGGCAGUGUGUUGUAUCUCUGAAUGCCUUUAAAAUGCCAGGAACAGAUCAGAUGCCCAGAAGACAGUCAGGUCCAGAUGUGCUUGUGUGUUUGGGGUAGUCCAUUUCUAUACAGGGAGGUUUCCGAAGCAAGCAGCAAAGGCAUCUAGGGUGAACUCCAGAUCUGUGCAUCUUCCCAGCAGAGUGGCCACUUACACGCUGUGUAAUUGCUUGUAGUUAAAUUGGAUCACUUUGUAAUGUGAUACAUACAGAGCCAUAUCUGAUUGAGGCAUUAUGCCCAGUAUUGCCUUCUACGAAGUAUUAACAAAUUGAAAGGCAAGGUGUUGUCUUACAAUAGUGAAUUUUUAAUGAAUAAUGAAAAUUAAAUUCCUUUUUCCCCAAAACUUUAGGUUCAAGCGUCAUGUUUUCCCUAGCACCAUUAUUGCUGUUGUUCUAGUUGAGAGCUGAGAUCCUCAUAUAAUCCUAUGUCUAAGAAAGUGUGGUUUUUUUAGAAGAGUGUGGAGCAAUGUAAGACUCUGAGAAAUACAACAGAGCUUGUGGCAGCAGUCCCCCCACGUGCUGGCUGCCCCAGCACUGCAGUAUUUAGGUGCUGAAAGAACUGAGCCCCCCAGGAGUUGCUCAGCUCACAAGAGGUGUGCCAGCACACAAGGAGAGAUGUGAGA